UGUCGCGAGAAACCAAAGUGAAGGGGCGGAGCGAAAUUAGAGAGCAUGCGCCCUUUGUUUUGGGGCGGAGCUAAACCGGCCCGAGGCACCCGGCCGGUAGACGGUGCUCCUUGUCCGUGGAGGGCGUGCGCUACUCCAGGUGUGCGCGCCUGCACGAGGACGCAGUUUGCGAGCGCAGGGGCAGCUCAUGCGUUGCGAUGGGGUCGUGACACUGUGUCAGCGUAGUCCGCAGUCGGAAGCAUUUUCCUCCGUGCAGCCAGGGACAAUCGAUGGCACUCUCAGAAGUCACGAGAUGCGAACAGUCACAGUUUAUGUUCCAAUAAAAAUCCCGAGGUUGAGUCUGAUAGGCCUGGCUCCAGUUAAUGUCCACCUCUCAAGCAAUCGCUGUAAAUCAAGAGUCUGUCAUUGGCGCUGGAUUUGGAAAGAGGUGAAAGUCCAUAAAGGAAGAAAACUGAGGUCUUAUUGCCAGAAGAGGGCGUGGUACCGAGGCAUCCAACCCAGCAGCUGUCCCCUGCAGCAGCCUCAGGCCAAAGACGACUAAAUCAGCACCCUGAGCACUUCAUGUGGGUUCGAGGCGAGGCAGAUUCAGCCCGUUUCACUCGAGACUGUGUCCGGCUACAGAGACUACACUCCCCAGCCACCCUUGCCACAGAAGUAGCUCUGUGUCAAGGUCCAGGUGGAAGCACAGGUCCUGAGGAGGGUGGCUCUUCGGCUAGGAAACCCCGAAAUAUUUUGAAAGGGGCUGAGAGAAUGCUGGGUGUUCUGACUAACAUUACCUUCAUUACCAUCUC